GACGAACGCUGGCGGCGUGCUUAACACAUGCAAGUCGAACGGAAAGGCCCUUCGGGGUACUCGAGUGGCGAACGGGUGAGCAACACGUGGGUGAUCUGCCCUGCACUUUGGGAUAAGCCUGGGAAACUGGGUCUAAUACCGAAUAGGACCGCGCGCUUCAUGGUGUGUGGUGGAAAGCUUUUGCGGUGUGGGAUGGGCCCGCGGCCUAUCAGCUUGUUGGUGGGGUAAUGGCCUACCAAGGCGACGACGGGUAGCCGGCCUGAGAGGGUGACCGGCCACACUGGGACUGAGAUACGGCCCAGACUCCUACGGGAGGCAGCAGUGGGGAAUAUUGCACAAUGGGCGCAAGCCUGAUGCAGCGACGCCGCGUGAGGGAUGACGGCCUUCGGGUUGUAAACCUCUUUCACCAGGGACGAAGCGCAAGUGACGGUACCUGGAGAAGAAGCACCGGCCAACUACGUG
rnacentral:rRNA from 1 species